UAGUCAACGUAUCCUGCAGACGCGGAUAAUUCUCCGAAAGGGGUUGUAACACGCGAUGAGACCACGUGGCCUUUGGGCUUUGGGGUCAAAGAUAGGGGAUCCUUCGGGACCUCGUGCUGUGGGAGCGGACGACCUCCGAUUAGCUAGUUGGCGGGGUAACGGCCCACCAAGGCGAUGAUCGGUAGCCGGCCUGAGAGGGUGUUCGGCCACACUGGGACUGAGACACUGCCCAG
rnacentral:rRNA from 1 species